rnacentral:rRNA from 1 species
GAUGAACGCUGGCGGCGUGCCUAAUACAUGCAAGUCGAGCGAACGGACGAGAAGCUUGCUUCUCUGAUGUUAGCGGCGGACGGGUGAGUAACACGUGGAUAACCUACCUAUAAGACUGGGGUAACUUCGGGAAACCGGAGCUAAUACCGGAUGAUAUUUUGAACCGCAUGGUUCAAAAGUGAAAGACGGUCUUGCUGUCACUUAUAGAUGGAUCCGCGCUGCAUUAGCUAGUUGGUAAGGUAACGGCUUACCAAGGCAACGAUGCAUAGCCGACCUGAGAGGGUGAUCGGCCACACUGGAACUGAGACACGGUCCAGACUCCUACGGGAGGCAGCAGUAGGGAAUCUUCCGCAAUGGGCGAAAGCCUGACGGAGCAACGCCGCGUGAGUAAUGAAGGUCUUCGGAUCGUAAAACUCUGUUAUUAGGGAAGAACAUAUGUGUAAGUAACUGUGCACAUCUUGACGGUACCUAAUCAGAGAGCCACGGCUAACUACGUG